rnacentral:rRNA from 1 species
ACUCCUACGGGAGGCAGCAGUAGGGAAUCUUCCACAAUGGGCGCAAGCCUGAUGGAGCAACACCGCGUGAGUGAAGAAGGGUUUCGGCUCGUAAAGCUCUGUUGUUAAAGAAGAACACGUAUGAGAGUAACUGUUCAUACGUUGACGGUAUUUAACCAGAAAGUCACGGCUAACUACGUGCCAGCAGCCGCGGUAAUACGUAGGUGGCAAGCGUUAUCCGGAUUUAUUGGGCGUAAAGAGAGUGCAGGCGGUUUUCUAAGUCUGAUGUGAAAGCCUUUGGCUUAACCGGAGAAGUGCAUCGGAAACUGGAUAACUUGAGUGCAGAAAGAGGGUAGUGGAACUCCAUGUGUAGCGGUGGAAUGCG